GCGGCCGUGGCGGAAUCGGUAGACGCGCAAGACUAAGGAUCUUGUGGGAGCAAUCCUGUGGAGGUUCAAAUCCUCUCGGCCGCACCA
rnacentral:tRNA from 1 species